GAGGUGUGCUCAGAGCAAGGGGCCUGAAGAAUGGCUCCUCUGUUUACAACACACCCAACAGGAAUCUGGGGUCAUUGUGACGAAGGGCAGCGCAAAACUUGUGGCCUCCUGUAAACAAAUACCCUACAUUU
ensembl:snoRNA